AGCCUUCGAUCCUUAGUUGGUUUGAGAGAAUGGUCGACCACAGUGGGACUGAGACAAGGCCCAUUCUUUGCAUUAGAGACAGCAGUGGGGAAUUUUUGGCAAUGGGCGAAAGCCUGACCGAGCGUAUUCUGUGGGGGACGAAUGUACUUAUUGUAAACCCCUUUUUAAUUGUUAGAAUUAAGACUUUAAUUAGAAUAAGUUCCAGCCAAUUUCGUGCCAGCAGCUGCGGUAAUACGGAAGGAGCGAGCAUUAUUCGUCAUGAUUGGGCGUAAAGGGUCUGUAGACGGUUCGUGGAUUAUGGGUAAAAAAUUAAAGCUUAACUUUUAAAAUAUCUUUAAUACGAACGAACUUGAGUUUAUAUAGAGGAUAAUGGAAUUUUUAUUGUAACGGUAAAAUGUGCUAAUAAUAAAAGGAACAUCAGAGGCGAAGGCGAUUAUCCUUCUUAAACUGACGUUGAGGGACUAAAACCAAGGUAGCGAACGGGAUUAGAUACCCCAGUAGUCUUGGUCGUAAACGAUGAAUGUUAGUGCUUAAGUUUUUGGGCAUACAGCUAACGCGUUAAACAUUCCGCCUGGGGAGUACUACUUAACGUAGAAACUCAAAGGAAUUGACGGGAACUCAUAUAAGCGGUGGAACAUGUGGUUUAAUACGAUGAUCCGCGGAAACCUUACCAGUUCUUGAAUAUAUAUAUAAACAGGUGUUGCAUGGCUGUCGUAAGCCCGUGUUGUGAAAUGUCUGGUUAACUCCUUUAACGGGCGAAACCCUUAUUUUAAAGUACUAAACAAGUAUUACUUUAAAAAAACGACCAUUAAAGUGGUAGGAAGGUGGGGAUGACGUCAAGUUUCAUGGCCCUUAUGGACUGGGCUACACACGUGUUACAAUGAUAAUUACAAUAAGAGGCAAUAACGCAAGUUGGAGCAAAUCUUUAAAAAUUAUCUAAGUUCGGAUUAUAGAUUGAAACUCAUCUGUAUGAAGUAGGAAUCGCUAGUAAUCGCAAAUCCUCACGUUGCGGUGAAUAAAUCACUGAGUUUUGUACACACCGCCCGUCACGUUUUGGGAAUCAGUUUGAUAUAAAAUAUAAUUUAAGUGUAGAACGUUAAUAGCGGUAGUACGGUUGAACAGUAU
rnacentral:rRNA from 1 species